ACGAACGCUGGCGGCGUGCUUAACACAUGCAUGUCGCACGGAAAGGCCCUGCUUUUGUGGGGUGCUCGAGUGGCGAACGGGUGAGUAACACGUGAGUAACCUGCCCUUGACUUUGGGAUAACUUCAGGAAACUGGGGCUAAUACCGGAUAGGAGCUCCUGCUGCAUGGUGGGGGUUGGAAAGUUUCGGCGGUUGGGGAUGGACUCGCGGCUUAUCAGCUUGUUGGUGGGGUAGUGGCUUACCAAGGCUUUGACGGGUAGCCGGCCUGAGAGGGUGACCGGCCACAUUGGGACUGAGAUACGGCCCAGACUCCUACGGGAGGCAGCAGUGGGGAAUAUUGCACAAUGGGCGGAAGCCUGAUGCAGCAACGCCGCGUGCGGGAUGACGGCCUUCGGGUUGUAAACCGCUUUCGCCUGUGACGAAGCGUGAGUGACGGUAAUGGGUAAAGAAGCACCGGCUAACUACGUG
rnacentral:rRNA from 1 species